rnacentral:tRNA from 1 species
AUUUAAAUAGCUUAAAAAGAAGAGUGUGAUAUUGAAGAUGUCAAGGUGAAUUUUAUUCUUUAAAUA